rnacentral:sRNA from 1 species
UAGGAGAUGCAAAGUUACUCAUUGGCAAUGAAGGGGAAAAGAUAGAAUAACAUUUCAAAGGUUUUGUAAGGAGGAGAGAAACUUAAUGAGAAGGUAUAAGAAGAAAAAUCCAAGAGAUGAGGGAAUCGGCUGAUGGAGCAGUUUUUCAGAGAAUGUAUGUGAAGGUAGGAGUCCUAACACCGGAGAAGCGUUCACUUAGAAAAUAGGAAAGCCCUGUCUUCCGAGGCAGGAGGGAGAGAGGUAAGGUGGCGGACUUGGAUGGGAGGAGAGUCAAGGAUAUCAGUUCUGGUGACCUCUUUCUCUUGAUUAGUCUGGAAAUUAACAUUUUAAGUAUCCCACAGUUUAGCCAUUUCAGUCCGUUGUUACUAGUCAGUAUACCAGAUUGUCUUGUUAUUUUCUUAGAAAAAAGUGUAUGAAACAUACUUAGGUUUGGUAAAGGAAACUUGUUUUCCUCUGCAGAUAGAAUUUGGAGUUGUGUAUAGUUGUGUGGAAGGCAAGAUGUACACUGCCAGAAAAGGAAAAGGUGCCUUUUGUAAUGGUCAAAAACUACAAGUUUCACAACAAGAAGAUAUUACCAAAUCUCUCUUGGUGACUGAGUUGGGCUCUUCCAGAACACCAGAGACUGUGAGAAUUGUUCU